AGGAAUUUAGGCUAACAAAGACCAAGGGCCUUCAAAGCCCUAAGUAAGUAUCUUCACUUAAUUCCUG
rnacentral:tRNA from 1 species